UCCAAACCCUGAUUCCCGUCUUGCCGCCGUCUUCUACUAUUUCAGUCUGGCGUGGACUCCUGCGACCGGCGAACUGGUCACUGGGGCUUGCCGGCGAGUGGGCUGGCGAGCGGCCGGCAAGAGCUGAGAGGCCAGAGGCUGUUCAUGGCUCCUGGGCUCGUCUCGUCGCGACCGGGCAGGCGACGCCGGCGCCGCCGCGCGCAGAGAUCCGAUCAUAAUUGAUUCCCAUGAGCCAACAGAAGCUCUUGCCCAAUAAUGUGUAAGCCCAUGGACAGGGACGUUCAUGUCUUUUCAGAAAGUGCCGAUCAGCUAUGGUAAAUACAUGAGAAACUAAUACCAUUUUUAGUAUUACUAUAACCUAUAACAGAAAUAGAACAAGCCGCCCAAUCUAUAUUACUGUCCUGUGGACCAGGACGAAUAAUUCUGGCUGGCCAUGAUUAUCCGUUUUAUGGCGCCCAAUUCUUUCACCACAUCGCCCAUAUUUAUGCGUUGUCUUGCAGAGCCCCUGCAGCAAGCUAGACCAAGUCUUGAAACUGGAGCAGCGAACAAUUCUAAAGUCGCUUGAGGCUCUUGGUUGCAUCUUAUAUUGACGUCCAUUAUUUCCAGCAGAUUACCAGGACAGGCCAUCUCAACAUACUUUGGUAGAUUUGUAGUAUCACCGAAAAAUGGGUCAGUUGGCCUUCUCCCAGUAAGCAUCUCCAACAAUAGCACACCAUAGCUGUACACGUCGCCUUCCACAGAUAUUUCGGUCCCCAUGCCAUAUUCUGGUAAAGGAAGGAAAGGAAGGGUUUGUGUUAGCUUUCUUAUAAAGUACUACUAUAUAUAUGCUAUAAAUAUAAUUCAUUCCGCACA